AUAUCGCCAUGGGGGCGCCCCGAAGCAAUGGGCUGAGAAGGUACCCCUUGAACCUGAUCCAGGUAAUGCUGGCGGAGGGAAUGGCGAGAGGAAGUUA
rnacentral:ncRNA from 2 species